rnacentral:rRNA from 1 species
CCUACGGGUGGCAGCAGUAGGGAAUUUUCCACAAUGGGCGAAAGCCUGAUGGAGCAACGCCGCGUGGGUGAAGACGGUCUUCGGAUCGUAAAACCCUGUUGUUAGAGAAGAAAGUGCGUGAGAGUAACUGUUCACGUUUCGACGGUAUCUAACCAGAAAGCCACGGCGAACUACGUGCCAGCAGCCGCGGUAAUACGUAGGUGGCAAGCGUUAUCCGGAUUUAUUGGGCGUAAAGGGAACGCAGGCGGUCUUUUAAGUCAGAUGUGAAAGCCUUCGGCUUAACCGGAGAAGUGCAUUGGAUACUGGGAGACUUGAGUGCAGAUGAGGUAGGUGGAAUUCCAGGUGUAGCGGUGAAAUGCUUAGAUAUAAGGAAGAACACCAAUGGCGAAGGCGGCUCUCUAGUCUGUAACUGACGCUGAGGUUCGAAAGCGUGGGUAGCAAACAGGAUUAGAUACCCUAGUAGUC